GUGCUGGAAUUCGCCCUUAGAGUUUGAUCCUGGCUCAGGAUGAACGCUAGCGGCAGGCCUAACACAUGCAAGUCGAGGGGUAGCAGGGCGUGCUUGCACUCCGCUGACGACCGGCGCACGGGUGCGUAACGCGUAUACAAUCUGCCUUAUACUGGGGUAUAGCCUUUAGAAAUGAAGAUUAAUCCCCCAUAGUCUCUAGAUGUGGCAUCACAAUUAGAGUAAAGGUUACGGUAUAAGAUGAGUAUGCGCUCUAUUAGUUUGUUGGUGAGGUAACGGCUCACCAAGACUACGAUAGAUAGGGGCCCUGAGAGGGGGAUCCCCCACACUGGUACUGAGACACGGACCAGACUCCUACGGGAGGCAGCAGUGAGGAAUAUUGGACAAUGGAGGCAACUCUGAUCUAGCCAUGCCGCGUGCAGGAAGACUGCCCUAUGGGUUGUAAACUGCUUUUAUAUAGGAAGAAACCUUGGUACGUGUACCAAGCUGACGGUACUAUAAGAAUAAGGAUCGGCUAACUCCGUGCCAGCAGCCGCGGUAAUACGGAGGAUCCAAGCGUAAUCCGGAAUCAU
rnacentral:rRNA from 1 species